CCUUACCCUUGGGUGACCAUGAACGAAACAGGAGCUCACUGAUUCUGGUCCAUCUUUCUUAGUCUCUUUACAGCUUAAGGACUGAGAAAAGAAUUGUGAAUAAUUGUAAAUGACUUGUGACAGCCGUGUUUCCUUUAUUGCUGCUCUGAGUGAAGCUGCUUGGUUGGGACAGCUUCCUAAGCCCUAUGGAUGGAGCACAUAGACAACCAGCAUGGCAGGAUGGAAACCUCACUCCAGGAGUACGCUACACAGCUGACACUUAGGUUUGGUUGGAAAUUUUUCAGCAAAUCAAAAUUUUGUUGGAAACCUCCCCACCGCUUUCAGGGUCCAAGAUACCCAGGCUCCUGAAAUGCCUUGGAUUCAACAGACUUCUGCAAGCUCAAAGGUGAGUUCCUGCCAGCUAUGGCCAGAGGUAGGAGCUGUCAGGCGCUUAACCCUAGGGCAGAUGCAUCUAGAGGGAGGCAGGGGGCUGUUUUUUUCUGGGCUGAGGAAUGAUGAGUCUCCCCAUUCUGCUCGGUGGUCAACUCUUCUGGAAAAGGUGGAUUGUACGGGACCAGUCUAUAGCCCAGCUCUAAGAGGAGGAUGGAUGGAUAUGGAACCCAGAUGGAGUGACAGUUGCAGGCGGCUGCCCAACACUUGUACUCUUAAAAAGGGAAAACAAUGCAAAGAGAGGAUGUCCCCGGAGGGAGAUCAUGCCCUGACCCAGCUGCUCACACAUGCAAGACAGAUUUUUUUCAAGCACAGGACCCGGUUGGGAACUUGA
rnacentral:lncRNA from 1 species